GACAGAGGGUGCAAACGUUGUUCGGAAUUACUGGGCGUAAAGCGCGUGUAGGCGGCCCUGUAAGUCGGGUGUGAAAUCCCACGGCUCAACCGUGGAAGUGCAUUCGAAACUACAGGGCUAGAGUUCUGGAGAGGAAGGUGGAAUGCUUGGUGUAGAGGUGAAAUGCGUAGAUAUCUGGAGGAACACCGGUGGCGAAGGCGCCCACCUGGCCUGCUACUGACACUGAAGCUCGAAAGCUAGGGGAGCAAACGGG
rnacentral:rRNA from 1 species